UAAGCAUAUCAAUAAGCGGAGGAAAAGAAACUAACAAGGAUUCCCCUAGUAACUGCGAGUGAAGCGGGAAAAGCUCAAAUUUAAAAUCUGUCAGCUUUGGCUGUCCGAGUUGUAAUCUAGAGAAGUGUUAUCCGCGCUGGACCGUGUACAAGUCUCCUGGAAUGGAGCGUCAUAGAGGGUGAGAAUCCCGUCUUUGACACGGACUGCCAGGGCUUUGUGAUGCGCUCUCAAAGAGUCGAGUUGUUUGGGAAUGCAGCUCAAAAUGGGUGGUAAAUUCCAUCUAAAGCUAAAUAUUGGCGAGAGACCGAUAGCGAACAAGUACCGUGAGGGAAAGAUGAAAAGAACUUUGGAAAGAGAGUUAAACAGUACGUGAAAUUGCUGAAAGGGAAACGCUUGAAGUCAGUCGCGUUGUCCAGGGAUCAACCUUGCUUUUGCUUGGUGUACUUUCUGGUUGACGGGUCAGCAUCAAUUUUGACUAUUGGAAAAAGGUCAGGGGAAUGUGGCAUCUUCGGAUGUGUUAUAGCCCUUGGUUGUAUACAAUGGUUGGGAUUGAGGAACUCAGCACGCCGCAAGGCCGGGUUUUUAACCACGUACGUGCUUAGGAUGCUGGCAUAAUGGCUUUAAUCGACCCGUCUUGAAACACGGACCAAGGAGUCUAACAUGCCUGCGAGUGUUUGGGUGGAAAACCCGAGCGCGUAAUGAAAGUGAAAGUUGAGAUCCCUGUCAUGGGGAGCAUCGACGCCCGGACCAGACCUUUUGUGACGGUUCCGCGGUAGAGCAUGUAUGUUGGGACCCGAAAGAUGGUGAACUAUGCCUGAAUAGGGUGAAGCCAGAGGAAACUCUGGUGGAGGCUCGUAGCGAUUCUGACGUGCAAAUCGAUCGUCAAAUUUGGGUAUAGGGGCGAAAGACUAAUCGAACCAUCUAGUAAGCUGGUUCCUGCCGA
rnacentral:rRNA from 1 species